UGUGCCCCGCCCACCGGCCUGGUAGUUGCGUGGUGGUGGUGGUGCAUGAGGAAGGCUUCGCUUGGACUGCGUAGGAGAAGCUUUACAAAUAAAGCUAUUAACUUUCACUGUUUUAUUCAUGAGUAAGCUAAUCACAUAAGCUGGAUUAUUCGUCACCAACUGGUGAAACUCAUGAUUUUCUUCCCUCUCUAAGUCAAAUAACGACAACAAAAAAGACAUCAUUGAAACUGAUACUGUAUUGGACUUGGGAAGCCCUUUAAUUAUGUAAUACUAGUAGUAUAGCUUAGAGUGCUUACUUCAGCAGUCGAAUGCGAGUCUAUUUUGCCUGGCCAGGAGCUUUCAAAUUCCCUACUGUAGGCCAACAUCUGCUUGGGAAAGUUGUGGAAGUUAUGUUAAACUUGUUAACUUAAAGAUGCUGCUAUAUUUUCUCUUUCAAUUUAACAUUAAGAUUUCACUGCAGUCUUCAGAAUUGACCAGUUACAUGUAGAAAACUUGCUUAAUGAGGAUCAAACAGGAACAUUAAAAUGAUUAUGACAAGGCGAAAUUGAACUCUUUGAUUUGAAUGAGCAUUUGUGUCCAACAUUUUACAGACCAUUUGGAUGUCAAAAUUGUUAGCUGUAAAAGGAAAGGAUCUUCCUCUGGGUGUGUCUUUGAAUUUCUGUCAGUUCUGGGCCGAUUGUUUUGCUGGUCCAUCAUCGGUCUAAGCUGAGGUAUAUAUGCUUAUUGGAAUAGUUGGUCAUUGGUGUUAACUGGAUGCAACACUGUCACAUUUUGAUGAAGGUAAGUUUGAUAUUUGAUUUUCAACUAACAUUUACAUUGUCUUAAUAGAUAACAUUUAUUUAAGAAAGUAGAAGAUAUUUGA